rfam:Triticum aestivum genome assembly, contig: Triticum_aestivum_CS42_TGACv1_scaffold_049667_1BS
AUUAUACUCCCUCCAUUCGGAAUUACUUGUCACAAAAAUAGAUGUAUCUACAACUAAAAUACAUCUAGAUACAUUUACUUCUUGGACGAGUAAUUCCGAACGGAGGGAGUACAAU